AUACAGUCUAUCUCUUUAUCUCUUAGGAGAAAUAUAAUUUAAUAUUCACAACUAUGUUUUCAUUAGUGUAUAAUCAAAUGAAACAAAGAAUUGUUGUGUUUUCCUUAGCUUAGAAUGAGCCCGUCAUAUCUACAUGGGGAGCAUGUCCUCUUCACCACCCAAUUUGACUGUUAUUAGGCCAUUAAAUAGGCGCUAUCAGUCGCUAUGAGCACCAUAGAUGUGGGUCAGUAGGGGCCUACUAUGCCUACUAUGAAGUGAAAGGGAAACUUAAAAGCAACACGUUCUAACAUGUUAUAAAACUGA